GAUGAACGCUAGCGGCAGGCCUAAUACAUGCAAGUCGAACGGUUGGUCGCAAGCCCACUAGUGGCGCACGGGUGCGUAGCGCGUAACUAACCUACACCGAACUGACGUAUAGCCCGCUGAAAGGUGGAUUAAUACCGCAUUUACCCGCACCCUAGCUUCAGGCACUGGGGAAUGAUGGGUUGGAUCGGGAUGGGGUUUCGUGACAUGAGGUAGUUGGCGGGGUAAGGGACCACCGAGGGGACGAUGUCUAGGGGGGCUGUGAGGGUGAUCCCCCACACGGGUACGGAGCUGCGGGCCAGACUACGACGGGAGGCAGCAGUAGGGAAUAGUGGGCGAGGGGCGAGAGCCUGCCCCAGCCAUGCCGCGUGCCGGAUGAAGGCCUUCUGGGGUGUAAACGGCUUUUCUCAGGGAAGAAAAAGACCUUGCGAGGUACACUGACUGUACCUGGGGAAUAAGCACCGGCUAACUCCGUG
rnacentral:rRNA from 1 species